GAUGAACGCUGGCGGCGUGCCUAAUACAUGCAAGUCGAGCGAACAGACGAGGAGCUUGCUCCUCUGACGUUAGCGGCGGGCGGGUGAGUAACACGUGGAUAACCUACCUAUAAGACUGGGAUAACUUCGGGAAACCGGAGCUAAUACCGGAUAAUAUAUUGAACCGCAUGGUUCAAUAGUGAAAGACGGUCUUGCUGUCACUUAUAGAUGGAUCCGCGCCGCAUUAGCUAGUUGGUAAGGUAACGGCUUACCAAGGCAACGAUGCGUAGCCGACCUGAGAGGGUGAUCGGCCACACUGGAACUGAGACACGGUCCAGACUCCUACGGGAGGCAGCAGUAGGGAAUCUUCCGCAAUGGGCGAAAGCCUGACGGAGCAACGCCGCGUGAGUGAUGAAGGUCUUCGGAUCGUAAAACUCUGUUAUUAGGGAAGAACAAAUGUGUAAGUAACUAUGCACGUCUUGACGGUACCUAAUCAGAAAGCCACGGCUAACUACGUG
rnacentral:rRNA from 1 species